UGUAUUCAUGUAUACUGUAUGGUGGGACUAGGCUGGUGGAACGCAUUCAGUAGCAAAAAUAACCAGUUGAAUUUAUAUUUCAUCUUGUCUCCAGGCAAAAGAAUUUGUGGGGGUCACACUCAGCUCGUGGAUGCAGCGGAGCAAGCAGGCUGUAACCUCUCCGAGGCAGGUGGGACGCACUGGCUCUCUGCCGUGAAUUGGUUUUCUAUGUGUUUUCAUGAAGCACUUUUCGAGGAAAGUCAUGCAGGAGGGAAAAGUGUUCAGGAGCAAGUGAUAUCUCCAUGAAGUGAAAUUAAUCUAUUCACUAUCACCCAGAGCCUGACAAUUGAUUAUGGCAAAUGUAUCAGCCCAGAGGUAAACACAAAGGAGUUUAUUAAUGUGGGUGGAAUGAUUGGCAUGAAAUAGAAAUAGUAUUUAGCAUUUGUAAAGCAUUAUUAUUCUGAUUAAACGAAACAAUUUU
rnacentral:lncRNA from 1 species